ACUACAACAUUAAAAUAUACAAAGCGACAGAAAAACAAUUUUAAUAUAAUAUUUCAGCGUUUAUUAAGACGAUCGCAGUCGGGUUUAGUUUUAAACUUUAUGUUACUAACGUUAUAUUUUUAUAUGGUGUUACUUUUCCAAAUAAGUGUACUUAGCAUUGCCUAGGCUAAGGUUGACACAUUUCUUAUUUGAUCAUGACCAACUUCAAAAAUUGAUGUAUUUACGUACAAAAUCUGUUUUGGCGGAUUAUAAUAAAUUAAGCUUGUGGUUUAUGAAAUAGAAAGUGACAAACA